AGGAUGAACGCUGGCGGCGUGCCUAAGACAUGCAAGUCGAGUGGGUUUAGACCCACGGCGAACGGGUGAGUAAUACCUAGGAACUUUCUUUAAGUCGAGAAUAUCCUUCCGAAAGGAAGUGCAAUACUCGAUGUGAUCGCAAGAUUAAAGUCGCAAGACGCUUAAAGUGAGGCCUGGGCACCAUCAGCUAGUUGGUAAGGUAACGGCUUACCAAGGCUACGACGGUUAGGGGCCCCGAGAGGGGAGACCCCCCACACUGGGACUGCGACACGGCCCAGACUCCUACGGGAGGCAGCAGUUUGGAAUUUUGGACAAUGGGCGAAAGCCUGAUCCAGCGACGCCGCGUGGACGAAGAAGGUCUUCGGAUCGUAAAGUCCUUUUGGCAGGGAAAAAUUUUGAUUGUACCUGCAGAAUAAGAGGUUGCUAACUCUGUGCCAGCAGCCGC
rnacentral:rRNA from 1 species